rnacentral:rRNA from 1 species
UACAGAGGUGGCAAGCGUUGUUCGGAAUUACUGGGCGUAAAGGGCGCGUAGGCGGUUCGUUAAGUCCUGUGUGAAAUCCCCCGGCUCAACUGGGGAACUGCACAGGAAACUAGCGGGCUUGAGUUCGGGAGAGGGAAGCGGAAUUCCGGGUGUAGCGGUGAAAUGCGUAGAUAUCCGGAGGAACACCGGUGGCGAAGGCGGCUCACUGGCUCAUAUCUGACGCUCAGGCGCGACAGCGUGGGGAUCAAACAGG